rnacentral:lncRNA from 1 species
GUAACCAUGAUGGCGAAGCACCUCGACACGAUCUACGUGUCGGGGUGGCAGUGCUCGUCCACCCACACGAGCACGAACGAGCCGGGCCCGGACCUCGCGGACUACCCGUACGACACCGUUCCGAACAAGGUGGAGCACCUCUUCUUCGCGCAGCAGUACCACGACCGGAAGCAGCGGGAGGCGCGGAUGACAUGAGCCGCGAGGAGCGGGCCCGGACCCCGUUCGUGGACUACCUCAAGCCGAUCAUCGCGGACGGGGACACCGGGUUCGGGGGUGCCACCGCCACCGUCAAGCUGUGCAAGCUCUUCGUGGAGCGCGGCGCCGCCGGGGUGCACAUCGAGGACCAGUCGUCGGUCACCAAGAAGU